rnacentral:rRNA from 1 species
AGAACGAACGCUGGCGGCAGGCCUCAAACAUGCAAGUCUAGGGGGCGUAGCAAUACGUCACCGGCGGACGGGUGCGUAACACGUGGGAAUGUACUUACUGGUUCGGAACAACUCAGGGAAACUUGAGCUAAUACCGAAUGUGCCCGAAAGGGGAAAGAUUUAUCGCCAGUAAAUCAGCCCGCGUCCGAUUAGCUAGUUGGUGGGGUAAAGGCCCACCAAGGCGACGAUCGGUAGCUGUUCUGAGAGGAAGAUCAGCCACACUGGGACUGAGACACGGCCCCAGACUCCUACGGGAGGCAGCAGUUGGGAAUCUUGGACAAUGGGGGAAACCCUGAUCCAGCCAUGCCGCGUGAGUGAUGAAGGCCUUCGGGUUGUAAACUCUUUCGACGGGGACGAUAAUGACGGUACCCGUAGAAGAAGCUCCGGCUAACUUCGUGCCAGCAGCCGC